UGGCUGAGAGGUAAAGCACUUGGCUUCCAAACUGGAGGUCCCAGGUUAGAAUCCUGG
rnacentral:tRNA from 1 species